rnacentral:guide_RNA from 1 species
AAUAAACUAACAAUGGUUAAGUCACUGUGUAGAUGAAUGGUAAUAUAAG